rnacentral:rRNA from 1 species
UGGUGGAGUGAUUUGUCUGGUUAAUUCCGUUAACGAACGAGACCCCGCCUGCUAAAUAGUCCCUGGUACGCAUUCGCGUAGCAGCGGCGCUUCUUAGAGGGACUUUCAGUGAUUAACUGAAGGAAGUUGGGGCAAUAACA